GACGAACGCUGGCGGCGUGCUUAACACAUGCAAGUCGAACGGAAAGGCCCUGCUUUUGUGGGGUGCUCGAGUGGCGAACGGGUGAGUAACACGUGAGUAACCUGCCCUUGACUUUGGGAUAACUUCAGGAAACUGGGGCUAAUACCGGAUAGGAGCUCCUGCUGCAAGGUGGGGGUUGGAAAGUUUCGGCGGUUGGGGAUGGACUCGCGGCUUAUCAGCUUGUUGGUGGGGUAGUGGCUUACCAAGGCUUUGACGGGUAGCCGGCCUGAGAGGGUGACCGGCCACAUUGGGACUGAGAUACGGCCCAGACUCCUACUGGAGGCAGCAGUGGGGAAUAUUGCACAAUGGGCGGAAGCCUGAUGCAGCAACGCCGCGUGCGGGAUGACGGCCUUCGGGUUGUAAACCGCUUUCGCCUGUGACGAAGCGUGAGUGACGGUAAUGGGUAAAGAAGCACCGGCUAACUACGUG
rnacentral:rRNA from 1 species